GCAGAUUUUCGAGUAGAGUGCAUAUUUUAAAAACAAUAGUGCAGAUUUUUAGUGCAACAUAUACAUGGACUUCCUAACGAACACAUGCAGAUUCUAGCAUUUACUUCUAAAGUACAUCAAGUUGUACUUUCUGAAGACGCGGAUGAUUAUGAAAUUGUAACCCUGCAUUAGGUAUGUGUUCUAAGUUCUUUAUCCUAACAAACGAGGAUCCUACUGUUGCAACAUGCAUCCACAGACAGUGCUUUAGAAAAAAAAUAUGGGGACUUCCACAAGCAUAGCCUCCUGACCCAAAUAAUUGAACCUAGUUCGCAGCACAGGGGAAUCAAUCUGGUUCUUGAAAAGAAGCUAUUUACCAAAUAAUCAUAAAUCUCCAGAAUCCAUCAAACCCAAGCUUAGCUUACUGAACCGGUGCUGAUAAUUGCUCGUGGAGAUGGAUUCUACUAGCUUCUGCGCACGUACUAAAUAAUAUGAUUUUCUACCCGCAACUGCAAAGUGCAGAGUAAUAGUACGGAUCUAACAUGUUUCUCUCAGGGAUUAAUAAGAAGAAAUAGAUGGGGAUUACUACAAGCAUGUCCACCUUAUCCAGAUUGAUUGAAUCUAAAUCACAGGAUAGGGGAAUUGAUCUUGUUCUUGGAACAAAUCACCAGAAUCCAUCAAACCCUAGCCUAAUUUACUGAACCUAUCCGAAUCAAAUCAAUCUGGCCAUCAGCACAAGAGGAGGCAGGGGAAGAAGUAGUGUCAUACCUUGCACGGAGAGCUCGAAUCGACGAUGUUGAAGGCAAGCUAAGGACGAGGGUGCGCCGCCUUCUCCUCUUGUUCGUGCGUUGCACCUCCACUGCCCUGGUUCACACGCUUCCUUCUCCCGUUCCCGCGCUUCCCUUCUUGUUCGCGGCCUUGCGCCGCCGGCUAUUGUUGGGUCUGCAUGGUCCUGCGGGGAGUGGAGCGACCGAUCCCACACCGCGACGCCCGAGCGGUCGCCUCGUUGCUUUCGUCAGGGAGGAGGCGAGCUCUUCUGCAGGUGACCACAUUGCUCUGCAGGCGAUAUGUUUGAUGGACGUGGCAUCGGACAGGUCGAUGUGGCGGCCGGGGCACCGAUACAGACG
rnacentral:lncRNA from 1 species